rnacentral:rRNA from 1 species
UAGGGAAUCUUCGGCAAUGGGGGGAACCCUGACCGAGCAACGCCGCGUGAGUGAAGAAGGUUUUCGGAUCGUAAAGCUCUGUUGUUAAGGAAGAACGAGUGUGAGAAUGGAAAGUUCAUACUGUGACGGUACUUAACCAGAAAGGGACGGCUAACUACGUGCCAGCAGCCGCGGUAAUACGUAGGUCCCGAGCGUUGUCCGGAUUUAUUGGGCGUAAAGCGAGCGCAGGCGGUUAGAUAAGUCUGAAGUUAAAGGCAGUGGCUCAACCAUUGUAGGCUUUGGAAACUGUUUAACUUGAGUGCAGAAGGGGAGAGUGGAAUUCCAUGUGUAGCUGUGAAAUGCGUAGAUAUAUGGAGGAACACCGGUGGCGAAAGCGGCUCUCUGGUCUGUAACUGACGCUGAGGCUCGAAAGCGUGGGGAGCGAACAGG